CACUGAUGUAAUGGAUUAAGUUUUAGAAGCUCUUUGUUGAUUUUGGGCCUCAGAAAUGCCAGCAAAACCUCAAAAAACUGAGUUAAAUACAACCAUUUUGGUUUACACAUUGUAUAUAUCAGUGUCUAUACAAACAAAAGGAAAUAUACAAUGUGGCCUGCAUCCGGAUGAGAGUGAAGAAUAUGUGAAAAAGCUCAUUGAAGACGUUACCUUGAAAAGGAGGACAAAACCUCUGGCCGAUGGUGUGUGUCAAAUGCAGCGGAAGUCAUCCUGAAAGGACGAAUGGAGAUUACAGAGGACAAACAGCUUAUUUUCCAACACAAUGCUGUAGAUAAUGUAUUAAAUUAAUGACCCGGCAUACGAAGAAUAGAGAUAAAUGUAACAUACAAGCGUGCUAUGAAUAACUAUGAAACUGUCAUGCGGAAGCACUUCCAUUUAAACGUUUCUCCAAGAAAGACUUAAUCAAAAAUGUCAGCUCGGCAAGAAGCAGCUGACUUCCUCCCGCCCCAUCUUUUGUAGUCCUUCCUUAGAGAGUCCAUCCACUGAAUCACAGCCCGCUCUAGAAUCCUGUGACCUUGAGCAAAUUGCCCAGCUUUCCUUUUGUCUCCCUCAGUUAUUUGUCCUUUCUUUCCAUUUUUGUUUUCUUAUCGCAUUUUAUCAUAGCUGUUAGCCAUGAACUGGUGGAUAUUCUGCAAUGAAAUCUGUGCAACUCAGAUGGCUUUUUAUAAUACGGUGAUGGAUCAUGUUGAGGGCUUGAUGAAUCGUGCCAUCGUUACAGUAAUGAAAUGUUUUCCUGCGACAGCCAUGAUUUUCACAGAGCAAAUUGAUACAAUAGAAAUGAGCAAAGUAACGCUGUAAUUGACUUGGUUUGAAGCUCAGGAAGAAUAAUCUUUUUUUUUUCUUUUUUUCGUAUCUAUAUCUAUUGGCAGAGUUUGGGUGAUUGCAUUUUUAUGAAACAGAUUUCCGGCUCUGUAAUCUGACUAGAUAUGCCACAUUCAAAGCUGAUGUAAAAUAGCGGAGAUGCACAGACUGCAUAUCAGUAAAAUUCUGUAUUAU